GUCCCUCAUUCCUUGUCCGCCUCCGGUCCAAUUCCAAGACGCGCUCGCCACGUUGUCUUUCGGCUGGCCCCGGACCGCCUGACGCCGACCCGCCUCCUCCCCCAGGUUUCCACUGCCUUCUGAAUCCGCUUUCUUAUUUUUGAGUUUGCAGGAAAGUUAUCAAAAUUUCAAGAUCAAGUGCGGAUCUUCUUUGCUGUCCUUUUCUGGGUGUCUCUGUUCUUCUGGUCCUCUGCAUGGGAUGGGGGGAAUUCUGGUAGACCAGAUAAAGGGUCUCGAUUUAGAAGAUAACCUAGUAAGAUUUUGAUUCUAUAUACAUGCAUAUAUAUACAAGAAAUACAUCAUUAAUAUAGACAA